ACCUCAGGCUCCCCAAUCACAUCCUAUGACAAAGUAUCUUCAGCUUUUAUUUGAGCAAAAGGUGAAAUGGACGAAGGGAUGGAAAUCUCAAAAAAACUUUUGGAGGGCUGGAUCUUAAGCUCCAUAUGAAUUAUUCUCAUCUUUUAACUACAUGGCCCUACUGAAAGCUCCAUUAAACUUGAGCAUGCAAAGGAUGUUUGGAGGAGAUGGACGAUGGAAGAUUAUGGAAAGCUGAAAAAGGAGAGACGUGCUUCUGGCAGACUGAUGGUGAUGAGCACUGCUUACACUGGAACCGCCAUGAAGAGAACUAAGCACCCGAGCUGGAAUUUUGGGUGCAUCAACAAAAGGGACGAAGCUCUUUAGAGAAACUCAAGACGUUCUACUGGGAAACUCUUCUGUGAUUUUAUACGAGUUUGAUGAUCUAAGAAAUGUGAGGUUCAACAAACAGCCAUUAAGAUACAAUGGGGAAAUCGCUGAUGGAGUUUACCUGCUACUGACUGCUAAGAAGGGCGCUCCAUUACAGGCCUCAGGCCUCCUGCCUCCCCUCCAUACCAGGAGGGGCUCAGCUCCUCCCUGCCCUUUCACUCCGUGCCAAGCCGGGGACAGGUGUUCCUCACGCCCCCCUUUGUCCCUUUCCCACAUCUCUUUGUCUCGAGAUGCCCCCCACCACCACCCGCAUUCAGCUUCUGCCCCCCGUGGCACAAUGCCGCCGGGGGAAGCGAGCUGGGGGGGUCCCGCUGUGAUUCCCCCAGUGCCCAGGAGCAAGGAUUGCUCUCUUCUGAAAGGCGAGACCCAUUUCUUCCCGGAGGCAGUAAAGCCGUCUCCCAGCCCCCAGAUCACUUGCAUUGUGAUUCAGCCAAUUCAGGGAAGAAGGUGGCAUCCCCAAGCCCCAUUUGUCCUUUUCCCUUCAAAGAAAAGAACAAGAGGCGGUCUUUAGCAGACUACUUAGGCUAAAGCGCUACUUACGAGCCCCAAAUCUCACACGCCUCUCAAGAAAGCCCAAGGGGAGUCACGGCCAGUUUUGUCCCUCGGCUCGUGCUGCCCCGGCGGCUUCCCUUGGGGCCGGAGGUUGUUUCCCCCUGCUGUUACAGCUGUAACUUUACUGUCCAUAAAGAAAAAGCAGGCACAAAAUUAAGAGAGAGUUUCAAGAUGAAAUAAUUAUGUAUGGGUAGCUCACUGUGGUUUUCUUGUGAAAUCCGCACAAGGGUGCUCAGAGGAUCUUCUCUACUGCGUGUGGGGAUCACAGCCCCCAGGUGCCAUCUGUUUGAUAGCACAGCGACUGAAAAGCAAAUUAAUAUUUUGUACGUAGGCUCAUGUAUAUUUUGCAAUACAAGUAAUGUUUAAAAUUGAGAAGAGUAUUCAAAACAUUUAACGUUUUGGGGAUUAGAUUGAUUUAAGCAUUGCUAAUUUGCCUGUCAACUUUGCUGUUCCAGUGCUUAUCUCCUAGUUAUAUGGUGUGCGAUAUUUAAAUAAAUAAGGACAAACAUUUACAUUUCUAAUACAAUACGUAUAUGCAUUCAUCCACAGGAUGUCCUGUUAAGUUUCAAAAAAGCAGUCACUUGCCACGACUCACAGAAGGAAAAUUAAAAGUUAUUCAAUACCCCGAUAUUGUAAAUGUCCCAAAAUACAAAGGAAAACCAUC